AGCAUAGAACAUCAAAGCCCUUCCCCACACUUCCUCCAACAAGGUCAUACAUACUUCAACAAAGACACACCUCCUAACGGUGCCACUCCCUGUGGACCAACCAUUUAAACGCAUGAGUCUAUGAGGGUCAAAGCUCUUCAAACCACCACACUCAUGUACACACACACACACACACACACACACUCUCAUACACACACACACACACACUCACACACACACACACACACACACACACACACACACCACACACACACACACACACAGAGUUCUAUUUUGCACUGUUUCACUGUCACAAGGUUCUACUUAUCUCAGACACACUGCCAGGAAUUGUGUGGGAAGACUUUCAGUUUCUUUGGGUUCACAUGGACUUAGCAGUUCUUGGUGAUCCUGAAAGAUUUCUGCAGAAAGAAGCCAAAGUGUUGAGCCCAAGGCCUGGCCACACAUUAGUCCUGUCUAGAUGAACAGGGGUUUAAAAAUAAGGGGGCAUCAAGGUGAAGCCAGCAGGGGCUGACUUAGAGAGGAGACCCACCCAAGCCAACUGCUCGAAGUCAAAAGCGAUGAAUCCCCAUAUCCAGCUGUGCCCGGUGCUGUCUUGCUACAUCUUUAGUAAAUGUUCUUUUAGUUGUAUGCGUAUGAAUAUUUUGCUUGCAUAUAUUUGUGUACACCAUAGGUGUUCCUAGGGCCUAUGGAGGCCAGAAGAGGGCAUCAGAUCCUUUGGAACUGGAAUUAUAGACACUUGUUACCCAUAGAGUAGAUUGUGGGAAAUGAGCCUUUAGUCUUCGAGAGCGGCCAGUGCUCUUAACCUUUGGUCGUUUCUCCAGGUCUUUGAGACUUUAUUUUCUUGGACAUCAGGACAGGAUCCAGGGCUUUGAGCUUGUUUCUUCAGCCAGCUUUCUUUUCAUGUAUAUUAAAUUUUAUGUUAUUUUGCUUUCUUUUUCCCCAAGACAGAAUCACACUCUAUAUAGCUCAGGCUGGGUUUGAAUUCAGUUUCCCUGUCUCAGUCUACCGGGUAAUAUGAUUACAGAUGUGAGUCUGACUUUGGUAUCAAAGUCCCCAGCCCUUCUGGAUAUGUGUUUUAAGGAUAUCAGAUAUAUCCUUGAUUUGCUUUGAAUUUUCUUUUUAGUUACAACAUAAUUAGUUCCGUGUCACCUGAAUAUGUGUAUGUCACCUACAUAGUCUUCCUUCUUCUCUUCUUCCCUCUCCCACCUUCCCAGGUACCUGUCUGUCUUCAUAUCCUUGUGCUGAGAGUCUUGUUGAGGGAGAUGAUGACCGAGACAGAGCCACUGGGGAAGGGAGAUGGGCUAGUGCAGGUCUUCAGAGAGGAGCUCGUGAAUAUUGUAGCCCCUUUAGUCCCUGGCAUGUCCUCUUGUAUAGCCACCGCCAUGCUGUGGCCUGGCAGAAGUGAAUAAGUUGUCCAGCUGUUGACAGGCCUGCCCUCCAGACCCAGUCUGAUCCCAAGAAAGGGCAUCUGUGUCUGUCUCUGAGGCCGUAAGUGCUGCCUGGUUGUCUCCAGCUUGACUUGACACUCCCUCCUUAAUAAGAGUACCACAGAACAGGGUCUGCAGAGUCCCUGGGCCAGGUCCCUGUGCUGUCCUGGAAUGCCAGGCGUGAAUUUCCUGUGAAGUAGGACUUUGCUCGCCAAGCUCCCACGGCUUGCCCUUCAGAUAGCCAGAAUUAUCUGGUACCCUGCAUUGCCGUUCAAUACGCAGAGUAUCACUGGAAGCGCGCGCGCGCACACACACACACACACACACACACACACACACACACACACACGCCCACUCCAUCUUUAAACCCCACCCCCCAGCAACGGCGGUGUAAACACUCUCCAUCAGGAAGCUGAAACGCAGUUGCCCUCUGCUGGGGAGAUGAAGGCAGCUUGCUGGGGGCGAGGACCGUGCUAGCAACCUUCCCUGGUGCACACGGGCUCUGGUGCAUGACGGGAACGGAAACGCGGAACUAAAUUUUGUUUCUAAGGAUACAUUCUUGGGUGAUGUCACAAAGUCCCCAAAGACACGGUGGAGCUGUGUUAGAUGGGGAAAGACAGUCUGCUGAGGAUUUAUCUGGAACUGUCAGAAGGAAAAGAAGGAAGGGGGACAUGCCGAAUCUACCAGUUUGCAGCCACCUACACAGGAUCCACCUUCACUUCUAAGGAAAUGUUUGGGAAGCUACCUACCAACCACUUCUGGCAUCUCAUGGGCUAGAGGACUCUUAAAUGGCACUCUUAUUUGUUUAAUAAAGGAGGUUGUGACGUGUAGUUUUAAA